rnacentral:rRNA from 1 species
UACGAAGGGGGCUAGCGUUGUUCGGAAUUACUGGGCGUAAAGCGCACGUAGGCGGAUUGGUAAGUUAGGGGUGAAAUCCCGGGGCUCAACCCCGGAACUGCCUUUAAUACUGGCAAUCUCGAGUCCGAGGGAGGUGAGUGGAAUUCCGAGUGUAGAGGUGAAAUUCGUAGAUAUUCGGAGGAACACCAGUGGCGAAGGCGGCUCACUGGCUCGGUACUGACGCUGAGGUGCGAAAGCGUGGGGAGCAAACAGG